ACAUGCUUACAUUGUAGAGUUAAUGCAUCGAAUCCCAUUAGAACUUCAUAGUUAAGUGUGCUUGGGCUAGAGUAGUAUUGGGAUGGGUGAUCAAUCGGGAAGUCUUAGUAUUUUACAUGCC
rnacentral:rRNA from 1 species